UACGAAGGGGGCUAGCGUUGCUCGGAAUCACUGGGCGUAAAGGGUGCGUAGGCGGGUCUUUAAGUCAGGGGGGAAAUCCUGGAGCUCAACUCCAGAACUGCCUUUGAUACUGAAGAUCUUGAGUUCGGGAGAGGUGAGUGGAACUGCGAGUGUAGAGGUGAAAUUCGUAGAUAUUCGGAAGAACACCAGUGGCGAAGGCGGCUCACUGGCCCGAUUCUGACGCUGAGGCGCGAAAGCGUGGGGAGCAAACAGG
rnacentral:rRNA from 1 species